rnacentral:sRNA from 1 species
AUGGUAUUGAAUGGGAAGGAGAUACAAAACCACAGAGACAGGGCAGCCAUUGUUCUCCUCUCACCGGACUAUGAAGAUGCUGUUCUCACGUGUGUCAGAAGUGGAGGAUAUUCCUGUGUGUGGACAAUCAUCGCCCUGAGUAACGUCACAAAACAUAACAUUGAGACAUUGCAUCCCCUGAUAAAUGGACCUAAAGAUCUAGCAGCAAGGACAAUAAAUUACAUGAUUACUCCAUCUUCAAGAUUGACAGGCCAUGGAGAACACAAAGAAAGAGGUCCAAACCACUAUCACCAAUACGUACUGUGGAGAGUGACAUCCAUUGCUUCAACCGUUUUGAAAAUCUCAGUGAUAAGUUCCAGCACUGACAGUGAUAGUGGAUCAGCAGGACAGCAGCAACCAUCCAAAAGAAGGAAAACCAACAAGAAUAAAAGAAGGAAACCACAAUGCCCACCACGUUCAGUUGGAGAAGAACUCAUGGACACCAGUAUUGAAGAUGAGCCAGAUAUUUGCCUUCCUAGCCCAAGAUAG